AGUGAACGCUGGCGGUGGGCCUAACACAUGCAAGUCGAACGGCAGCACAGUAAGAGCUUGCUCUUACGGGUGGCGAGUGGCGGACGGGUGAGGAAUACAUCGGAAUCUACUUUUUCGUGGGGGAUAACGUAGGGAAACUUACGCUAAUACCGCAUACGACCUACGGGUGAAAGCAGGGGAUCUUCGGACCUUGCGCGAUUGAAUGAGCCGAUGUCGGAUUAGCUAGUUGGCGGGGUAAAGGCCCACCAAGGCGACGAUCCGUAGCUCGUCUGAGAGGAUGAUCAGCCACACUGGAACUGAGACACGGUCCAGACUCCUACGGGAGGCAGCAGUGGGGAAUAUUGGACAAUGGGCGCAAGCCUGAUCCAGCCAUACCGCGUGGGUGAAGAAGGCCUUCGGGUUGUAAAGCCCUUUUGUUGGGAAAGAAAAGCAGCAGGUUAAUACCCCGCUGUUCUGACGGUACCCAAAGAAUAAGCACCGGCUAACUUCGUG
rnacentral:rRNA from 1 species